ACCCUUGGGAAGUCGGAGCAAGCCCCGAGUCUUCCCUAGGUUCCAAAAAUCAUAUAACCUUUAUUACACUCAUUCGAGUGUAUACCGUAGGUUAAUACGAUAAGAACAGAUACUACACUUUGAUCUUAGCUAAUAAGCCGAAGAAGCGAUA
ensembl:ncRNA C47F8.10 ncRNA